rnacentral:rRNA from 1 species
AGGACGAACGCUGGCGGCGUGCUUAACACAUGCAAGUCGAACGAGGUGCUUGCACCUAGUGGCGAACGGGUGAGUAACACGUGAGCAACCUGCCCUUGGCUCUGGGAUAGCCUCCGGAACGGGGAUUAAUACCGGACAUGACCUUGGUCUGCAUGGACUGAGGUGGAAAGUUUUUCGGCCAGGGAUGGGCUCGCGGCCUAUCAGCUUGUUGGGGGGGUAACGCCACCAAGGCGACGAC